rnacentral:rRNA from 1 species
CCUACGGGUGGCUGUAGUGAGGAAUAUUGGUCAAUGGGCGCGCGCCUGAACCAGCCAAGUCGCGUGAAGGAUGACUGCCCUACGGGUUGUAAGCUUCUUUUAUAAAGGAAUAAAGUGAGGAACGUGUGCCUUUUUGUAUGUACUUUAUGAAUAAGGAUCGGCUCACUCCGUGCCAGCAGCAGCGGUAAUACGGAGGAUCAGAGCGUUAUCCGGUGUUAUUGGGUUUAAAGGGAGCGUAGAUGGGUUGUUAAGUCAGUUGUGAAAGUUUGCGUAUCAACCGUAAAAUUGCAAUUGAUACUGGCAGUCUGGAGUACAGUUGAGGUAGGCGGAAUUCGUGGUGUAGCGGUGAAAUGCUUAGAUAUCACGAAGAACUCCGAUUGCGAAGGCAGCUUACUAAACUGCCACUGACAUUGAUGCUCGAAAGUGUGGGUAUCAAACAGGAUUAGAUACCCUUGUAGUC